rnacentral:tRNA from 1 species
GGCACUAUAGCCAAGUGGUUACGGCGACAGAUUCGAAUACUUACCGUGUCAUCUGUUCCUCUCUGAGGGCGCAGGUUCAAAUCCUGCUGGUGUCG